CUCGUCAAGGCAAGUCAACUCGAGAAAGUCAGAUGCAAGUAGUCCUCUAAGCGUUGAAUCUCCAUAGUGAUACGUUAAAGUUAAAUACAUCGAUUUGUCGAUAAUCGAAAACAUAUCUAAGAUAUAAUAAUGUGUUGUUUGUUAGGACUGCUCUUGUCCUCAAUGUAUACAGAUUGUUUUUGUUGACCACAUUUUGACGUCAUUUUAUCGUUCGAAUCUUUCUGCCUAGUCGGCUAUGUGCGUGCUGAGUGUUCGUGUCGUUUCUGUUGCGUCUUCUCGAGUCCGAUGUAUCGCUCUUUGCGCUUUGCACUGCUUAGAGGGCUACUUGCAUCUGGCUUUCUCGAGUUGACUUGCCUUGACGAGUUUGCGUCGCUCUCUAAGACUAUGCACAAUCACUGAAGAAGACUCGAACUGAGUCCGAAACGUUUGAUGUCAAUAAAGAAGAAAGAUCGUUUAAUAUGAUUGUUUUCAUGGAUAAUUUUAAAAAAACGCCUUUCAACUGCGUUGGCUCUUUAUGGCCUCUUACUAUAUUUUAUUUUAAUUUGUUAAUAAUAAAAAUGUAAUAAUAACAGAA